rnacentral:tRNA from 1 species
GAAGAAAAAGAAAAAUAAAUAAUUUUUCUUUCUUCUCUGGUUUGAGUUUUUUCCCAGUAAAGGAUAAAAUAAAUAAUAUUUUUUCUUCU